UACGAAGGGAGCUAGCGUUGUUCGGAAUCACUGGGCGUAAAGCGCACGUAGGCGGAUUUGUCAGUCAGGGGUGAAAUCCCGGGGCUCAACCUCGGAACUGCCUUUGAUACAGCAAGUCUUGAGUUCGAGAGAGGUGGGUGGAAUUCCUAGUGUAGAGGUGAAAUUCGUAGAUAUUCGCAAGAACACCAGUGGCGAAGGCGGCUCACUGGCCCGGUACUGACGCUGAGGCACGAAAGCGUGGGGAGCAAACAGG
rnacentral:rRNA from 1 species